rfam:Triticum aestivum genome assembly, contig: Triticum_aestivum_CS42_TGACv1_scaffold_513619_6BS
CAAGUACUCCCUCCAUCCGGAAUUACUUGUCAUCAAAAUGGAUGUGUCUAGAACUAAAAUACAUCUAGAUACAUGCAUUUCAAUGGCAAGUAUUUUCGAAUGGAGGGAGUACAAG